UACGUAGGGUGCAAGCGUUGUCCGGAAUUAUUGGGCGUAAAGAGCUCGUAGGCGGUUUGUCGCGUCUGCUGUGAAAACUCGGGGCUUAACUCCGGGCCUGCAGUGGGUACGGGCAGACUAGAGUGCGGUAGGGGUGACUGGAAUUCCUGGUGUAGCGGUGAAAUGCGCAGAUAUCGGGAGGAACACCGGUGGCGAAGGCGGUUCUCUGGGCCUUACCUGACGCUGAGGGGCGAAAGCGUGGGGAGCGAACAGG
rnacentral:rRNA from 1 species